UGUUGUGGAUGAAAAAAGAAAGUGGUUUCUUGGGAUGGAAUCUACUUUUGGUGAAGAUACCGUGAG
rnacentral:pre_miRNA from 1 species